GGAGGAUAGGAAAGAACAAGGACUGAGCACAGCCUCUUGCAGCGUGGAAUUUAUGCAGAGGGUAGCAAAAGGAGAAUUGUGAGUCACUGUCUCCAGUCAUGUGGGCUGGGAUUUCUUCCAUCUGAUCAUAACUGGAUCAUCUAUCAGUGCUCAAAGCAAGGGCCACUGCUUCAUUGAAAGUAUCAGAUCGGAUGAAUAAAACAGCUGUUAAAUGUUUACAUUCAUCCCCUUCAGUGCCCUGCUGUCAAGGUAUCCGUGAGCAUCUUGCACUGUUGACUAGGCUUCCUCCUCUAUGUCUGGAGCUGCCAGAGAAGUGAUGGACAUCUGUGCAUGUUAGCCAAGAGGGGCAGGGUAUAUGCCCAAGGGGAUAAAUGAUCUUUCCAUCAAAGAAGCCAACACUUUGUGCUUUUAACAAAAGAAAAAACUGCUGCUGCUGCUUUCAUCUCUCCUUUGUGCAGAAAGGAGAUGCAUAGCACCAGGGAGACUGCAACUUCACCCUCUUCUCGACCACUGCCAGUGGGUUGGUGGGACUGAAACAUACCAGCUCAGGCUGCCCAGGGCUCCAUCCAACCUGGCCUUCAACACCUCCAGGAUGGGGCACCCACAGCUUCCUCGGGCAACCUGUGCCACUGCCUCCCUGCUCCCCAAGUAAAGAAUUGCCUCCUACCCCCUAAUCUAAAUCCUAUUUAUCUUAAAAUCACUCCUUGUGCUGUCACUAUCAGACCACGUACCAAAUCAGUUCCCCUCUUGUUUAUAAGCCCCCUUCAAGUACUGGAAGGCCGCAGUAGGGCCUCCUGGGAGCCUCCUUGUCUCCGGGCUGCACAAAGGGAACACGUGCUGUUAAGCAGUGCGCAGGAAACGCCUGAAAGACCAAAACGGGUAUUUCUGGGUGCCCAGGGCUGCUAUCCGGCCCCGUGGGAAGGCUCUUCCCACGACGAGCAGCCUGCCUUUCGGCUCGCUACCCCCCACUGCCCCCCGGACCGCCCAACAGCGUGGCUUUGCUCUUUUCCCCCUGCGUGGAGCCCCUCGCAGCACUAAGGACACGGUGAGCAGAAGGCAGAGCAGCGAUGGGACCGCAGGCUGGGACGCUGGUACCCACCGUGGCUCCACGGUGGGAAGAAGGGGGAGAGCUGCCCGCAGGCAGUGGGGAACGGCAGGCCCUGCGUGGAGACGAGCCCGCAGACGCACGGGGGG
rnacentral:lncRNA from 1 species